rnacentral:tRNA from 1 species
UCCCUCAUAGCUCAGUUGGUAAAUCAUCUGCCUGCAAUGCAGGAGAUCCAGGUUCGAUCCCUGGGUUGGGAG